GACGAACGCUGGCGGCGUGCCUAAUACAUGCAAGUUGAGCGCUGAAGGUUGGUACUUGUACCGACUGGAUGAGCAGCGAACGGGUGAGUAACGCGUGGGGAAUCUGCCUUUGAGCGGGGGACAACAUUUGGAAACGAAUGCUAAUACCGCAUAAAAACUUUAAACACAAGUUUUAAGUUUGAAAGAUGCAAUUGCAUCACUCAAAGAUGAUCCCGCGUUGUAUUAGCUAGUUGGUGAGGUAAAGGCUCACCAAGGCGAUGAUACAUAGCCGACCUGAGAGGGUGAUCGGCCACAUUGGGACUGAGACACGGCCCAAACUCCUACGGGAGACAGCAGUAGGGAAUCUUCGGCAAUGGACGAAAGUCUGACCGAGCAACGCCGCGUGAGUGAAGAAGGUUUUCGGAUCGUAAAACUCUGUUGGUAGAGAAGAACGUUGGUGAGAGUGGAAAGCUCAUCAAGUGACGGUAACUACCCAGAAAGGGACGGCUAACUACGUG
rnacentral:rRNA from 1 species